rnacentral:rRNA from 1 species
GCGAGUCCAACGGGAAAGCCCCUUCGGGGGUCUCUGGAAUGGCGCACUGGUGAGUAGCGACUGGGCGUGUGGCCCUCGCGUGGGGGACAACUCCCCGAAAGGUGCGCUUCCGCGAUUACAAACGAUUCUUCUGCGGGUGCUCUGAUUGCCGGGCUCCUGGCGUCUGCUGAGGAGGAGCCUGCGGACCAUCCGCUUGUUGGUGGGGUAACCGCCUACCAAGGCAAAGACGGUUAGCUGGUCUGAUAGGAUGAUCAGCCACACUGGAACUGAAACACUCCCCAGACUCCUACGGGAGGCACCAGUGGGGAAUAUUGGACAAUGGGCCAAAGCCUGAUCCAGCCACACCGCGUGAUUGAUGAAGGCCUUCGGGUUGUAAAGCUCUGUGGGGAGGGACGAAAAAGGUCGCCAGGAAAUGGGCGGCCCUUGACCGUACCUCCUUACCAAGCACCGGCUAACUCUGUGCCACCAGCCGCGGUAAGACAGAUGGUGCGAACGUUGCUCGAAUUCACUGGGCGUAAAACCCCUGGAGGCGGCCCGGAAAGUUUCGUGUGAAAUCCCUGGGUUCAACCUAGCACCUGCAUCUGAAACUUCUUGUCUAGUGUGUCGGAGAGGAAAGCUCAAUUCCUGCUGUAGAGGUGAACUUCGUAUAUAUCAGGAGGAACACCUAUGGCGAAGGCGGCUUCCUGGACGAGUACUUACGCUGAGACGCUAAAGUGUGAGGAGCAAACAGGAUUAGAUACCCUGGUAGUCCACACCAUUACACCAUGAGUGAUCGAUGUCUCGGGUAUUGACCCCUGAGGUGUAGUAGCUACCGUGUGAAGCACUCCUCCCGGGAUAUGCGGCCGCAAGGCUAAAACUCAAAGGAAUUGACGGGGGCCCGCACAAGCGGUGGAGCAUGUGGUAUAAUUCGACGCAACGCGCUGAUCCAUAGCCGGGCUAGAAAAAUAGGGAAUGCGCUACAAAUACAGGAGUGGCCGUAAGGGAACCCUAGUCCAGGUGGGGCAUGGCUGUCCUCAGCCAGAGUUUUGAGAUGUUGGGGUAAGUCCCGCAACGAGCGCAACCCCUGUCAUUAGUUCCAUCAGUUCGGCUGGGCACUUUAAUGAGAUGCCGGCGUCAAGCCGGAGGAAGGUGGUGAUGACGUCAAGUCCUCUUGUCCCUUAUGUCCGGGGCUUCACACGUGCUACAAUGGUCGGUACAAAGCGCAGGGAAACGGGAGGGUAAGCCAAUCGCAAAAAGCCGACCUCAGUAGAGAUCACAUUUUGCAACUAGACUGCACGAAGCAGGAAUCGCUGGUAAUCUUUGAUCAGCAGGCAACGGUGAAUACGUUCCCGGGCUUUGUACACACCGCCCGUCACCCCAUGGGAGUCGACUGCUCCAGAAGCGGCUGUGCCAACCCGCAAG